rnacentral:rRNA from 1 species
GACGAACGCUGGCGGCGUGCUUAACACAUGCAAGUCGAGCGGGAUCCAACCGGUGGCAACACCGGGGAAGAUCUAGCGGCGAACGGGUGAGUAACACGUGAGCAACCUGCCCCGAAGACUGGGAUAACACCGGGAAACCGGUGCUAAUACCGGAUGUCGUCAUUAGGCCGCAUGACCUGAUGAUGAAAGGAUUCAUCGCUUCGGGAGGGGCUCGCGGGCUAUCAGCUUGNGGUGGGGUAACGGCCUACCAAGGCGACGACGGCUAGCUGGUCUGAGAGGACGACCAGCCACACUGGGACUGAGACACGGCCCAGACUCCUACGGGAGGCAGCAGUGGGAAUCUUGCGCAAUGGGCGAAAGCCUGACGCAGCAACGCCGCGGUGGGGGAUGAA